CUAAGCAGGGUCUUCUCUAAAGCCUCUUGCUCUAAAAGGGAAAGGAUGAGUAGGACAAGAUCUUCUCACAUUUCCCCAUCACUUGGCAUCAGAGAAUGAAAACAGCUCCAGCAUGUGUGAAUCAUUAGUCACUCUCAGCAAAUGGAGAAACCCUGCAGGGGUAAAGAGAGAACGGAAAGGGCAUCGCAUCUAAACCCUGGAGUAAUGUUUCACGUUUGAACAACCUACAAGCGCCUUCUUUGUCUGUUCCAAAGCUAGGAAGGACUGGGUGCUAGUAGGGUUCCGUUUGGAAAGAAAGACAUUGAACCUGGUGCUGAACGGGAGAGAAACUCACCCCCCACAAGAGAAACGUGGAUGAAAUCCAAACAAGAAGUAACACAAGAGCUUCCAAAGCAGACAUCCAAGUUCUACGAAGCGUGAAAAAAAAUUUCUCCGUGGUCUCCCAUCCAGGAAGGAACCAAGGCCAACUUGCUCGGUUUCCGAAUUUAUUUCUCUGGCCCCCGUUGCUGCUGCUGCUACUACUAAGUCUUUACUUGCUUAAUGCACCCCACUUUAGGGGUUCGUCCGGCCAAACCGUGAGAUCGGCUCAUCAAACAUGCUGUUGGUGUGGCUGGCUGGUUUGUGGCCUGAAGGUUGUGUGUGUGUAUGUGUGUGUGUACCCAAAGAGAGAGAAGAGCAGAGUGGGUGGCUGGAGAGGAGGGAAGUUGGAGGAGAUACCACUCUUGAAGGGCCAUCAAGCCUUCACACCUUCAAGAGUGGCUCCGAGAUCUGGCAAACCCCCGGAUACGCCAUUAGCUCCAUUCGCAGGACACAUUGAACCCACAACUCAAAUACCCUUCAGCUUAGCCGGGUUUGUGGAUGUAGCCAAAGGUUACGCGUAGUGUGUUUGGCCAACCUCGUCCGUUGGGCUUUGCAGGACAUGGCUCUUAAGCAUGGGAAAGCAUGUGGCGGGGAUGGCAGCCAGAAAAAGCAGAGUCUGGGCCGUUUUAAUUUUUGCACUCAUGUAUCGCAGGAGGAAACAACCUGUGGCUGUUUGCAAAGCCAGCAUGUGAGAGAGGGAGAGGUUUGACUGAUUGAUCCUAACCAGGAUUGUUCUUCCUUGGAGCUAUCGAUGGCCCAACACGAGUUUUGCAUUUUGGAAAAAGCUUCAUGCUGCUUCUUUUUCCCCUAAAAGUAGCCUUUCUUUUUUUUUUAAGAGCUGAACUUUGUGAACUGGUCCCAUAAAGGCCAGAAGGUUGGAGAGAGCAAGGAAGUCAAUUGGUGACUCAAGAUUGAUGCUGUGUUGUUAUGUAAACAUUUCAAUUCCUGCCUUAUUUUUUUUACACAAGUUGAAGAUAAAAGGUUAGAUUUGGGGUACUUUUUUAAAGAAAAAUGCCAUGUAGCCAUGAACUCCUUCAGCUGGGGCCAUAUGUGUUUCCAACUUGACGGUGCUUCCACUCGGUGGUGUAAAAUCCAGGUGAUUUAUAGGUUUGGUGGUUAAAUUUUUAACAGCUGAGCCAUCUUACAUAGGCUCAUAAAGCUAAAACAUGCAAAAAAGUAUCCCCCAAAGAGCUCAAUUCAUAGAACAAAGACCAUUAAAACACAUUCAAAGCAAUUAAGCUAUUAAAUGCAACUACCUUUCAAAAAGACCUUGGCUAUGUGUCAGAUUGGUCUAACAAGUGGCAACUUCAACCAACAAAUGCUCUGUCUUGCACAUGUCUGGCAAACAAAAUCAAAACAAAAUACAAAUGGACAUGACCUUGUAGAUGACCCUCACUCUGUCAAGGACCUUGGAGUACUCAUUUCUAAAUAUCAAAGUGACAGAACUCACUGUAACAGCAUUGCCAAAAAGGCAUUAAGAGUUGUCAAUUUAAUCUUGCGUAGCUUCUUCUCUGGUUUGCGUCAACUACCUGACCUUCGGACCUUUCGCCGUGAAUUGAAAACGUAUUUGUUCAUCCAAGCGGGACUGGCUUAAUUUUUAAUUUUUAAAUUCUGAAAUCUGAAUUUUAAUCAUUUUAAAUUGGGGUACUGUGUUUUAUUGGGGUCAAUUGGACGGUUUUACAUUUAAACUUUUAAAUUUUUCAGCCGUUGUAUAAUAUGUUAUUUUAAUUUGUUGUUUUAAUAUUGUAGAUUGUAUAUUUUAAUUUGGCUGUACACCACCCUGAGUCCUUCGGGAGAAGGGCGGUAUAAAAGUCUAAAUAAUAAAUAAUAAUAAAUAAUAAAUAAAUAAAUAUUGUACUACUAACUAGAGCAUACAAAGCAAUUUGCUUGUGUGUCCAAUCAACUUGGCCAAUAAAUUUUAUCCUAUCCUGUUCUAUUCUAUUCCUUAUUCUAUUCCAUUCCAUUCCACUCCAUCUAUUCUAUUCUGUUCUGUUCUUAGGCCUGGUCAGUGAGCCCAUUAUUCGAGAAAGGAUAAACAGGCUAAGUCAAAUAUGUUGCCUCCACUGUCAAAGGACACCCAGAGUUGAAGAUCAGAAGACAUUUAACGUUGUGCCUUGUAGAGCCAUCGGGACAAUUUCCAACUCUGUGAAGUUAUUCAGCGGUGUGAGAUUUACAGCUGCAAGACAAAACGUGACUUUAAAAAAACACAACGAAGUCCACCGAUCAAGGAAUAAAUUAGUUUAAAAACACAUGUUCGCGGGGAGUGAAAAACCACGUGGACGCAUCCAAUUCG